AUGGGCUUCAUCCAGAGCACCUUCUCGCUGCUGGUCGGCGCCGCGGGCGGCAUCUACAUCGCCCAGAACUACGACGUUCCCAACAUCAAGAACUACAUGCAGGGCCUGAUGGGAAAGGCCAAGGAGCUGGACCAUGCCUACAAGAAGCCCGAGGACGGCAGCAAGAGCAAGGCUUAG
rnacentral:rRNA from 1 species